AUUGAACGCUGGCGGCAGGCCUAACACAUGCAAGUCGAACGGUAACAGGAAGCAGCUUGCUGCUUUGCUGACGAGUGGCGGACGGGUGAGUAAUGUCUGGGAAACUGCCCGAUGGAGGGGGAUAACUACUGGAAACGGUAGCUAAUACCGCAUAACGUCGCAAGACCAAAGAGGGGGACCUUAGGGCCUCUUGCCAUCGGAUGUGCCCAGAUGGGAUUAGCUAGUAGGUGGGGUAACGGCUCACCUAGGCGACGAUCCCUAGCUGGUCUGAGAGGAUGACCAGCCACACUGGAACUGAGACACGGUCCAGACUCCUACGUGAGGCAGCAGUGGGGAAUAUUGCACAAUGGGCGCAAGCCUGAUGCAGCCAUGCCGCGUGUAUGAAGAAGGCCUUCGGGUUGUAAAGUACUUUCAGCGGGGAGGAAGGGAGUAAAGUUAAUACCUUUGCUCAUUGACGUUACCCGCAGAAGAAGCACCGGCUAACUCCGUG
rnacentral:rRNA from 1 species